rnacentral:rRNA from 1 species
UGAGGAAUAUUGCUCAAUGGGCGAAAGCCUGAAGCAGCAACGCCGCGUGCGCGAUGAAGGUCUUCGGAUCGUAAAGCGCUUUUGAGAGGGACGAGAUAGGACGGUACCUCUUGAAUAAGUCACGGCUAACUACGUGCCAGCAGCCGCGGUAAAACGUAGGUGGCAAGCGUUAUCCGGAUUCACUGGGCGUAAAGCGCGUGCAGGUGGCUUCGUAAGUUGGACGUUAAAUCUUUCGGCCUAACCGGGAGGUGUCGUUCAAUACUGCGGGGCUUGAGGGUAGAAGAGGGGGGUGGAAUUGCCGGUGUAGUGGUGAAAUGCGUAGAUAUCGGCAGGAACACCUGUGGCGAAAGCGGCCCCCUGGUCUGCUCCUGACACUCAGACGCGAAAGCUAGGGGAGUGAAC